rnacentral:rRNA from 1 species
AUACCCUAUUAUUUUUAUUGUAAAGUUAAUUAAAACUAAAGUACUAAUAGAUAAAGUCUUAAAACUUAAAGAAUUUGGCGGUAUUAUAGUCUAUUUAGAGGAAUCUGUUAUGUAAUCGAUAGUCCACGUUGAACCUUACUUAUAUAAAUUCUUGUAUAUCGCUGUUUAGAAUAUAUUUUAAGAUAAUUAUCUUGAUAUUAAAGUAAUUAAUAUUUCAAGUCAAGGUGCAGUAAUAUAUAAGUUGAAUAAUGGAUUACAAUAAAGUUUAUUUAAAACGGACUAAUAAUUGAAAUAUUAUUUGAAGGUGGAUUUAAAAGUAAUUUUAUAAAGAUUAUUAAAAUGAUUUUUAGCUCUAUAAUAUGUACACAUCGCCC